rnacentral:lncRNA from 1 species
AACUGAUACUCGAUCUUGAAGUUCUUGAAAUCUAAAUCUCGAGGAAGAGAAAAAAAUAGAUAAAACUAGAAAAUAAUUUGUUAUCUAAAAACCCCACAUAUUGGAGAUUGAUCACUCAGAGAAUAUCUCAAAGCCCUUGACUAAAAACACAAAAACUGAUGAACCACAACGAACUAAUGGAUCAAGCAAACAGCGCAACUCAUGCACUAUCUACCAAAAUGAUUUCCUAAUAUACAACUACAACACCUACCAAGGUCCAAAGCAACACAUUAGUAGUCUUUUAGUCGCUUCUCCAAAAGUAGAGCGAAUGAAAACAUUAUAUUCUUUUCUUUUACAGUUUCCU